UCUCUAAUGGCCGCAAAUAGGUCCUAAGGAACAGAGAAAUAUAGUUGUGACCAGAGGCUAUACCCUCUCACUUGAAUAAUUGAGUAAACUGAAGCUUCAGAAGGAUGAAUGACUUGCUCAAAGGCAUGCACUUAGUGACAAUCAGACACCAGGUAGCUGAAUUCUCAUCUGCGACUUUCUCCCUAAACACUGCAUUUUGCUCAGAGCCUUCCUCUUAGACCGAAGAAAUGCUGGCCUUCAGAGUUACGCAGGAAGGGAUGACUGGACGUUGAUGCUCUGACGUUCAGGGUCAGAAUUGUACAAAUGGAUUGUAAAGGAGUUGAAAUGAGUUGUCCACUGUCAAAAAGUUAUAUCAACAAGGAGCCAGCCCCAUGGCUGAGUAGUUAAGUUCGUGCACUUCACUUCAGCGGCCCAGGGUUUUGCCAGUUCGAAUCAUGGGCAGGGACAUGGCACCGCUCAUCAAGCCAUGCUGAGGCAGCAUCCCACGUGCCACAACUAGAAGGACCC
rnacentral:lncRNA from 1 species